GAGAGUAUAGCUCAAGUGGUAGAGCACAUGCUUAGCAUGCACAAGGCCCUGGGUUCAAUCCCCAGUACCUCCA
rnacentral:tRNA from 1 species